rnacentral:tRNA from 1 species
GGGGUUGUGGCUCAGUGGUAGAGCACUCGCCUAGCAAGUGGGAGGCCCUGGUUUGCUCUUCAGCACCA